GACUGAGGGGGCAAGCGUUGCUCGGAAUUACUGGGCGUAAAGGGCGCGUAGGCGGGAUGGCAAGUCGGUCGUGAAAUCCCUCGGCUCAACUGAGGAUCGUCGAUCGAUACUGCCGUUCUUGAGGAUUGCAGAGGAGACUGGAAUUCCCGGUGUAGCGGUGAAAUGUGUAGAGAUCGGGAGGAACACCGGUGGCGAAGGCGGGUCUCUGGGCAAUUCCUGACGCUGAGGCGCGAAAGCGUGGGGAGCAAACGGG
rnacentral:rRNA from 1 species